rnacentral:rRNA from 1 species
UAGUGAUUAACGCGAAGAACCUUACCAAGGUUUGACAUGCAGGGAAAAGCCGUAGAGAUACGGUGUCCGUAAGGGCCCUGCACAGGUGGUGCAUGGCUGUCGUCAGCUCGUGUCGUGAGAUGUUGGGUUAAGUCCCGCAACGAGCGCAACCCUCGUCCUAUGUUGCCAGCGGAUAAUGCCGGGGACUCAUAGGAGACUGCCGGGGUCAACUCGGAGGAAGGUGGGGAUGAGGUCAAGUCAUCAUGCCCCUUAAGUCUUGGGCUGCAAACAUGCUACAAUGGCCGGUACAGAGCGUCGCCAACCCGCGAGGGUGCGCCAAUCGCCAAAAGCCGGUCUAAGUUCGGAUUGCAGUCUGCAACUCGACUGCAUGAAGCCGGAAUCGCUAGUAAUCGCAGAUCAGCAACGCUGCGGUGAAUACGUUCCCGGGCCUUGUCACACCGAAUCGAA